AUUACAUUACACAGAGAACAACCAACAACCACACCUAUGGCACCUAAAUCCAUUGGUGAAAUUAUACCACUAUAUGCUAAUGAAACUGGAGCUAGUAUGGAGCUCGACACCAUGUGAGUGGGGAACCUGAUUGUUGAGUGUCUCUACUUACAAAAAAGAGCUAAACUGUUCAUUAAUGGUUUAACUUUUGAGGGUAAACUGGUGCCAGGGAUCUCCUGUCAUUAUAACAAAUUAAUUACAACAAAGUUGUUAUGAUGCCCAAAGUGUUGCUUUAAAGGUGAUGUACCGUUAGGAGAGACUUGUGGCUCGGUUUAUAGUUAGUAGUUAUUAUGAAGCUGGUAUGGUGCCCAGAGUGUUUCUUUAACUCUAAACCUCCCAAAACAAUAAAUCUAAAUCUGGCUGCUACAUUUAAAAUUGAUUUCUUGGAAAAGAUGAAUUAAUAAAGUUGCACAAUGUGACACAUAAUGUGAAAUGCACAAUUUUGAUGGAAACAUUUUGAUUGCAUAUAUUAUAUAAAAAUUACAAUUAGAUUUGUUUUGGCAACAUUUGGGUGGAUUGACAUAGUGACAGUUGCCUGUGAAAUGGACAUCUGUUAUGACUAAAUUCCUUUUUAUUAUAUGAGCUAUUCUUAUGUUGAAAUACCUUUACCUAUGUGGUUUAGUAUCUCAUUCCUGUUUGGUAACUUGUAUAGUUCUAUUAUG